GAUGAAGAACGUAGCGAAAUGCGAUAAGUAAUGUGAAUUGCAGAAUUCAGUGAAUCAUCGAAUCUUUGAACGCACCUUGCGCUCCUUGGUAUUCCGAGGAGCAUGCCUGUUUGAGUGUCAUGAAAUUCUCAACCUUUUCAGCUUUCUUUGUUGAUCAGGCUUGGAUGUGGGAGUAUGCGGGCUUCUCAGAAGUCGGCUCUCCUGAAAUGCAUUAGCGGGACCUUUGUUGCCUGGCUUUGGUGUGAUAAUUAUCUACGCCAUUGUAGUCAAGCAGCUUAAAAUGAGGUUUCAGCUUCUAACCGUCUCCCCUGAGACAACUUUUUGACAAUUUGACCUCAAAUCAGGUAGGACUACCCGCUGAACUUAAGAAUAUCAAUAAGCGGAGGA
rnacentral:misc_RNA from 1 species